UUUCUCCCUCCAAUUAAAGAGAGAGGGAACUUUGGCAUUUUGGGAUAUUUCGAGCUCGAUCGAUGGCCACUAUGGCGUCGAGCUGCGCCCUCUCUUCCAUCUCCCACAGCGAUGCGGCGAUUGGAUCCAAUCAAGGCGCCGUGGCGCGGCUCCUGGGGUCGACCAAGGCCAAGAAGGUGAGAACUCUCGUGAUUAAGGCGGUGAAUGCCGUCCCCGCGGCCGCAACCGGGGCAUCGAAUGGGCACUCGAAGGGAUUGCUCUCGGCCAGGACGCGUCCCACGGAGGAUCCCUCAGCCCCAAAGUUCAUGCCACUGCCAUCGUUCGAGGAGUGCUUCCCAAAUUGCACCAAAGAAACCACAGACGUUGUGCAUGAAGAAACAGGAUCUACGCUCAAGGUUCCCUUUCGUCGCGUGCAUCUAUCCGGUGGACACCCGCCGUUUGAUCUCUAUGAUACCACUGGACCUCAAAACAUCGAUCCGCGAAAUGGAAUCCCGAAACUCAGGAAAGCUUGGAUCGAGAGACGCGAGGCAAAGUCCCAGCCAAGGAUGACGCAAAUGUUCUACGCAAAGAAGGGAGUCAUCACUGAGGAGAUGCUCUACUGCGCGACCAGAGAGAGCAUGGAACCCGAGUUCAUCCGCUCGGAGGUUGCUCGAGGCCGGGCGAUCAUUCCCUCCAACAAGAAGCACACGGAGCUGGAGCCGAUGAUCAUCGGGAGGAACUUCCUCGUCAAAGUUAACGCAAACAUCGGCAACUCGGCUGUGACGAGCUCGAUCGAGGAGGAAGUCCAGAAGUUACAGUGGGCGACUCGAUGGGGAGCUGACACGAUCAUGGAUCUGUCCACAGGCCGCCAUAUCCACGAGACGAGAGAGUGGAUUCUAAGGAACGCUUCGGUGCCGGUCGGGACUGUUCCCAUCUAUCAAGCGCUCGAGAAAGUUGACGGCAUCGCCGAGAACUUGACGUGGGAGGUGUUUCGAGAAACUCUCAUGGAACAGGCCGAGCAGGGUGUGGACUACUUCACGAUCCAUGCUGGUGUGCUGCUGCGGUUCAUCCCACUCACAGCAAACCGGGUGACGGGAAUAGUUUCCAGGGGUGGCUCCAUUCAUGCGAAGUGGUGCCUGACGCAUCACAAGGAGAACUUUGCGUACGAGCACUGGGACGAUAUCCUCGACAUUUGCAACCAGUAUGAUAUCUCGCUCUCCAUCGGCGAUGGCCUGCGACCCGGCUCGAUCCACGACGCGAACGAUCAGUCGCAAUUCUCGGAGCUGGCUGUCCAAGGCGAGCUCACUCGCCGGGCCUGGGAGAAGGAUGUCCAGGUGAUGAACGAAGGCCCCGGCCACGUACCACUCCACAAGAUCCCAGAAAACAUGGAGAAGCAGCUCGACUGGUGUAACGAGGCACCGUUUUACACGCUGGGGCCCUUGACGACCGAUAUCGCCCCUGGAUACGAUCACAUAACUUCGGGCAUUGGAGCCGCCACCAUUGGAGCUCUCGGGACUGCGCUGCUGUGCUACGUGACGCCGAAGGAACAUCUCGGGCUGCCGAACAGGGACGACGUGAAGCAAGGGGUGAUAACUUACAAGAUCGCUGCUCACGCUGCGGACCUUGCGAAACAGCAUCCUUUUGCUCAGGCUUGGGACGACGCGCUGAGCACGGCGAGAUUCCAGUUCCGGUGGAGGGACCAGUUUGCACUGUCGUUGGACCCCAUGACAGCGAUGGCGUUUCACGACGAGACGCUGCCGAGCGAAGGAGCAAAAGUCGCGCACUUUUGCUCGAUGUGUGGUCCAAAGUUUUGCUCCAUGAAGAUCACGGAGGACGUGAGGAAGUAUGCUGAGGAGCAUGGCUACACCAAUAUGGAGGACGCGAUGAAAGAGGGCAUGGCUAAGAUGAGCCAGGAGUUUUCAGCUGCGAAGAAGACCAUCACCGGCGAGCAGUGGGGAGAGUCCGGCGGGGAGAUCUAUUUACCGGAGGAAAGCAAAGAACCAGUUGCUUAAGAGCGAUGGACCAAAGAUCAUCUUGUCUCACAAGGUGACCUCGCCAAGGAAAGGAGCGACAGGAUUUGGAUCUGGAGAAGAUGACGGUCAAGUUUGAAGGGGUGCUUGUCCGUCUCAGGGACAGGCUGAGAGAGUCCCUUUGCACCUGAACAGGUUAAUACCUGCGUAGGGAGCGUGCUGCUUGUGCUGUUUUGCAGGUGUAGAUCGCGCGCGCGAGGAUCAAGGUUUUGUUCCGAGCGAGACGAUGAUCGCUUCGAUUGUCCCAAGGUAUGUGGUUCCAUCCGUCGAGAUCUUGGUUUUUCUUGGAUUCUUUCUAGUUGCAGCGUUUUUAUUCUUCGUAUUAUGUUCUUUCUAACUAGUUCGGUCACUAAAUAUUGUACGGCAAGAAAAUUCCAAGGCUGUAAAACAAUGAAUAUGAUUAUUUUCCAUGCGCAAAAA